rnacentral:misc_RNA from 1 species
UCAGCGGGUAUCCCUACCUGAUCCGAGGUCAACCAUAAAAAAUUGGGGGUCGCUGGCCAGCGUCCACCGGGACCCAACAGCGAGAAGAUUUCGCUGCGUUCUUCAUCGAUGCGAGAACCA